GAUGAACGCUGGCGGCGUGCCUAAUACAUGCAAGUCGAGCGAACAGACGAGGAGCUUGCUCCUCUGACGUUAGCGGCGGACGGGUGAGUAACACGUGGAUAACCUACCUAUAAGACUGGGAUAACUUCGGGAAACCGGAGCUAAUACCGGAUAAUAUAUUGAACCGCAUGGUUCAAUAGUGAAAGACGGUUUUGCUGUCACUUAUAGAUGGAUCCGCGCCGCAUUAGCUAGUUGGUAAGGUAACAGCUUACCAAGGCAACGAUGCGUAGCCGACCUGAGAGGGUGAUCGGCCACACUGGAACUGAGACACGGUCCAGAGUCCUACGGGAGGCAGCAGUAGGGAAUCUUACGCAAUGGGCGAAAGCCUGACGGAGCAACGCCGCGUGAGUGAUGAAGGUCUUCGGAUCGUAAAACUCUGUUAUUAGGGAAGAACAAAUGUGUAAGUAACUAUGCACGUCUUGACGGUACCUAAUAAGAAAGCCACGGCUAACUACGUG
rnacentral:rRNA from 1 species